ACUCCUUGAGUGAGCAAGAUUCUGCUUCUAGAUUCCAUUAUAAAAAUUCUAGAUUAGAUUAGGAGUUAAACCAUAGGAUAAAUUUAACUUGUGAUCUGUUAGUAGUAUCUUGGUGGGCCUCACUCUCUGAGUGAGCAAAAUUUUGCUCAUAGAUCCUACCAUAUAAAUCCUAUUAGUUAGAAAUACUACGAUUCUUUCCUUAACCGAGAAGCUCCCUCU
rnacentral:lncRNA from 1 species